rnacentral:lncRNA from 1 species
CCCAUUCAUAAUAGUGGAAACAAGUAUCAUCAAUCACCCAUUCAUAAUAGUAGAAACAAGUAUCAUCAAUCACCCAUUCAUAAUAGUAGAAACAAGUAUCAUCAAUCACCCAUUCAUAAUAGUAGAAACAAGUAUCAUCAAUCACCCAUUCAUAAUAGUGGAAACAAGUAUCAUCAAUCACCCAUUCAUAAUAGUGGACUAUUCCACCCUGACAGAGUUCCAGUGAAUUGUUUCGCACCGUAUUGAUUGCAAACGCGACUUUCGUGAAAUUAAGCUGAAGCAAUGAGGUGUUUCAGAGCGGGGCAGCUGCAGCAAUGAGAUGCUUUCAGAGCGGGGCAGCUGCAGCAAUGAGAUGCUUUCAGAGCGGGGCAGCUGCAGCAAUGAGAUGCUUUCAGAGCGGGGCAGCUGCAGUAAUGAGGUGUUUCAGAGCGGGGCAGCUGCAGCAAUGAGAUGCUUUCGGAGCGGGGCAGCUGCAGCAAUGAGAUGCUUUCAGAGCGGGGCAGCUGCAGCAAUGAGGUGCUUUCAGAGCGGGGCAGCUGCAGCAAUGAGAUGCUUUCAGAGCGGGGCAGCUGCAGCAAUGAGAUGCUUUCAGAGUGGGGCAGCUGCAGCAAUUAUAUGCUUUCAGAGCGGGGCAGCUGCAGCAAUGAGAUGCUUUCAGAGCGGGGCAGCUGCAGUAAUGAGGUGUUUCAGAGCGGGGCAGCUGCAGCAAUGAGAUGCUUUCAGAGCGGGGCAGCUGCAGCAAUGAGAUGCUUUCAGAGCGGGGCAGCUGCAGCAAUGAGAUGCUUUCAGAGCGGGGCAGCUGCAGCAAUGAGAUGCUUUCAGAGCGGGGCAGCUGCAGCAAUGAGAUGCUUUCAGAGCGGGGCAGCUGCAGCAAUGAGAUGCUUUCAGAGCAGGGCAGCUGCAGUAAUGAGAUGCUUUCAGAGCAGGGCAGCUGCAGCAAUGAGAUGCUUUCAGAGCGGGGCAGCUGCAGUAAUGAGAUGCUUUCAGAGCGGGGCAGCUGCAGCAAUGAGAUGCUUUCAGAGCGGGGCAGCUGCAGUAAUGAGGUGUUUCAGAGCGGGGCAGCUGCAGCAAUGAGAUGAUUUCAGAGCGGGG